UACGUAGGGGGCUAGCGUUGUCCGGAUUUAUUGGGCGUAAAGAGCGUGUAGGCGGCCUGGUAGGUCUGCUGUGAAAACUCGAGGCUCAACCUCGAGAUGUCGGCGGAAACCAUCUGGCUAGAGUCCGGAAGAGGAGAGUGGAAUUCCUGGUGUAGCGGUGAAAUGCGUAGAUAUCAAGAGGAACACCUGAGGCGAAGGCGGGUUGCUAGGCUGAUACUGACGCUGAGGCGCGAAAGCUAGGGUAGCAAACGGG
rnacentral:rRNA from 1 species